rnacentral:rRNA from 1 species
UACGGGGGGGGCAAGCGUUGUUCGGAAUUACUGGGCGUAAAGGGCUCGUAGGUGGCCAACUAAGCCAGACGUGAAAUCCUUCAGCUUAACUGGGGAACUGCGUCUGAUACUGGAUGGCUUGAGUUUGGGAGAGGGAUGCGGAAUUCCAGGUGUAGCGGUGAAAUGCGUAGAUAUCUGGAGGAACACCGGUGGCGAAGGCGGCAUCCUGGACCGGCAUUGACGCUGAGGCGCGAAAGCUAGGGGAGCAAACGGG